UUAAUUUGGUUCAAGUGAGGAACAAAAUUUUGCACUGUUCUUCACCUCAAUUUGCAAGGCAGGUUCACAUUUGAAUUCUAGAAUCCAGUAAAGAGAAUACAUCUGCUUUGCUUUUGGGUCUUGAAUGUCUUUUCAACAUCUCAUAUGUAGAUGAUACCGAGGAUUUUAAGGAAUACAUAUUUUUUGUCAUGGUCAUUUGGGAUCUAUUAUAACUCUGUCAAAUCACAACGGCAAAAGAUAACAAAGUAGUUAUUACACGUAAAAUCAUGUAUGUUGUUGGACAGUAUCCUUGGUUUUAAGAGCUUGUUGGAAGUUUUUUAAAAGCUGUUGUGAAUAAGUUUCUUGAGUUUUUGCAUGAGAUUCUUCUUAGAGUUCAGGUUAUGUUUUCUUCCUAUGUUUUCUGUCCUACUUUUUCUUAUAUCAACAGCUUAGUUUAUGUCCCUGUGCGUGUGCUUGUGUUUGUGUGCUCUGCGUGCUCAUUUUUGUGUGCUCUGUGUUUGUACUCUGUGCUGUGUGCCUUUGUUUGCCUUUGAGUCUUUGUGUGUGCAUGUUGUGUUUUGUAUGUGUUUCUAUGUGCGUGUAUCUGUCUUUUUUGUGUUCAUAAGUGGCAGCCCUUAAGUUUGGGAACACUACCAAUAUUCUUGAGGCAUAUUCAUAUGGUUUAAGUGAGGAACAAGGUAUCAUGCAGAAUUUUGCACUGUUCUUCACCUCAUUUUGCAAGGCAGCUUUAUGUCUAUUUGUCAUGGGAAGUCACAUUGAAGACUUUUGGUGGUGACCUAGAGUUUGUUCUCCAUUGGAUUUGUGGCUUGGAGUUUCUAAACACCUAAAAGUAUCCAAUAUCAAGGCUACUUCUAAAAAGUGGAGUGAUGCACUUGAGAGGAAAGCAACAUUGUGGCUGGAGUUGGAAGAAAAGAAGCAACAAAUUUUAGAAAAAUUUUUGUGAACUUUAGAAACUAAUUUAGUGACGGAAAAUUUUGACUCAAAACCAAUUUUUCUUACA